AAAAAAAAAAAAAAAAAAAUAAAWUAAGCUUAGAACUUAAUCAAGUAGUAAUAAUACUACAUUUAGUA
rnacentral:tRNA from 1 species